AUUGAACGCUGGCGGCAUGCCUUACACAUGCAAGUCGAACGGCAGCGGGGGAGAAGCUUGCUUUUCCUGCCGGCGAGUGGCGAACGGGUGAGUAAUACAUCGGAACGUGCCCUGUAGUGGGGGAUAACUAGUCGAAAGAUUAGAUAAUACCGCAUACGACCUGAGGGUGAAAGUGGGGGACCGCAAGGCCUAAUGCUAUAGGAGCGGCCGAUGUCUGAUUAGCUAGUUGGUGGGGUAAAGGCCUACCAAGGCGACGAUCAGUAGCUGGUCUGAGAGGACGAUCAGCCACACUGGGACUGAGACACGGCCCAGACUCCUACGGGAGGCAGCAGUGGGGAAUUUUGGACAAUGGGCGAAAGCCUGAUCCAGCAAUGCCGCGUGUGUGAAGAAGGCCUUCGGGUAGUAAAGCACUUUUGUCCGGAAAGAAAUGGCUCUGGUUAAUACCUGGGGUCGAUGACGGUACCGGAAGAAUAAGGACCGGCUAACUACGUGCCAGCCGCCGCGGUAA
rnacentral:rRNA from 1 species